rnacentral:lncRNA from 1 species
UUUAGUAGAAGAAGAAGAAGUCCAGAAUUUGAUUCUUUUAAAAUGAGAGGAAAUCCCUCAAUUUAUAGAAAACAGAGGGUAGUGUGAAAAGGUUCUUAUUGUGCCUUACCGGAAAGGUCACAAACCUUUGAAAAGUCACAAUCUUUCGGAAAGGUCACCACCUUUCAUAAAAGUCACAACUUUUCAUAAAAGUCGCAACUUUUGAUAAAAGUCACAACUCUUCAUAAUAGUCGCAACUUUUCAUCAAAGUCACAACUCUUCAUAAAAGUCGCAACUCUUCAUUUUCCAUUCACACCUUUUAAAACCCAACAAUCCCCCGCAUGAAUGGGGAAUGACUCCAAGACAAAGAAACGGACAAGUAUGUGUACUUUACAAGCAAGAAUUAAUUGCAUCUGGAUAAGUAGGUUUCCCCUUGGACUUUCCGUAGUGAACAUAUGUCGGAUAUACUCGGUCAAUCGGUAGAUGCGAUAUCUUUGAACCGUC